AAAUUGAAGAGUUUGAUCAUGGCUCAGAUUGAACGCUGGCGGCAGGCCUAACACAUGCAAGUCGAGCGGUAGCACAGAGAGCUUGCUCUCGGGUGACGAGCGGCGGACGGGUGAGUAAUGUCUGGGAAACUGCCUGAUGGAGGGGGAUAACUACUGGAAACGGUAGCUAAUACCGCAUAAUGUCGCAAGACCAAAGUGGGGGACCUUCGGGCCUCAUGCCAUCAGAUGUGCCCAGAUGGGAUUAGCUAGUAGGUGGGGUAACGGCUCACCUAGGCGACGAUCCCUAGCUGGUCUGAGAGGAUGACCAGCCACACUGGAACUGAGACACGGUCCAGACUCCUACGGGAGGCAGCAGUGGGGAAUAUUGCACAAUGGGCGCAAGCCUGAUGCAGCCAUGCCGCGUGUAUGAAGAAGGCCUUCGGGUUGUAAAGUACUUUCAGCGGGGAGGAAGGCGACAAGGUUAAUAACCUUGUCGAUUGACGUUACCCGCAGAAGAAGCACCGGCUAACUCCGUGCCAGCAGCCGCGGUAAUACGGAGGGUGCAAGCGUUAAUCGGAAUUACUGGGCGUAAAGCGCACGCA
rnacentral:rRNA from 1 species